GAUGAACGCUGGCGGCGUGCCUAAUACAUGCAAGUCGAGCGAACAGACGAGGAGCUUGCUCCUCUGACGUUAGCGGCGGACGGGUGAGUAACACGUGGAUAACCUACCUAUAAGACUGGGAUAACUUCGGGAAACCGGAGCUAAUACCGGAUAAUAUAUUUAACCGCAUGGUUCAAUAUUGAAAGACGGUUUUGCUUUCACUUAUAGAUGGAUCCGCGCCGCAUUAGCUAGUUGGUAAGGUAACGGCUUACCAAGGCGACGAUGCGUAGCCGACCUGAGAGGGUGAUCGGCCACACGGGAACUGAGACACGGUCCAGACUCCUACGGGAGGCAGCAGUAGGGAAUCUUCCGCAAUGGGCGAAAGCCUGACGGAGCAACGCCGCGUGAGUGAUGAAGGUCUUCGGAUCGUAAAACUCUGUUAUUAGGGAAGAACAAAUGUGUAAGUAACUAUGCACGUCUUGACGGUACCUAAUCAGAAAGCCACGGCUAACUACGUG
rnacentral:rRNA from 1 species